GACAGAGGAUGCAAGCGUUGUCCGGAAUUAUUGGGCGUAAAGAGCUCGUAGGCGGUGUGUCACGUCGGCCGUGAAAACCUGCAGCUUAACUGUGGGCGUGCGGUCGAUACGGGCAUCACUGGAGUUCGGCAGGGGAGACUGGAAUUCCUGGUGUAGCGGUGAAAUGCGCAGAUAUCAGGAGGAACACCGGUGGCGAAGGCGGGUCUCUGGGCCGAUACUGACGCUGAGGAGCGAAAGCGUGGGGAGCAAACAGG
rnacentral:rRNA from 1 species